GAUGAACGCUGGCGGCGUGCCUAAUACAUGCAAGUCGAGCGAACAGAUGAGAAGCUUGUUCCUCUGACGUUAGCGGCAGACGGGUGAGUAACACGUGGAUACCCCCCCUAUCAGACUGGGAUACCUUCGGAACACCGGCGAUAAUACCGGACAAUAUAUUGAACCGCAGGGUUCAAUUGUGAAAGACGGUUUUGCUGUCUCUUCUAGCUGGCUCCGCGCCGCAUUAGCUAGUUGGUAAGGUAACGGCUUACCAAGGCAACGAUGCGUAGCCGACCUGAGAGGGGGAUCGCCCACACGGGAGCGGGAACGCGGUCCCGACGCCUGAGGGAGGCAGCAGAAGGGAAUCUUCCGCAGUAGUCGGGAGUAUUACGCAGUGAGGGCGCGUGUGUGAUAAAGAUCCUGGGAGCGUAAUGCCCUCUUAUGAGUGAUAAACCAAUGUGUGAGGAAAAAUGGCCGUCGUGACGGUACCUAAAGAGGAAGCAACGGCUAACUACGUG
rnacentral:rRNA from 1 species